GAUGAACGCUGGCGGCGUGCCUAAUACAUGCAAGUCGAGCGAACGGACGAGAAGCUUGCUUCUCUGAUGUUAGCGGCGGACGGGUGAGUAACACGUGGAUAACCUACCUAUAAGACUGGGAUAACUUCGGGAAACCGUAGCUAAUACCGGAUAAUAUUUUGAACCGCAUGGUUCAAAAGUGAAAGACGGUCUUGCUGUCACUUAUAGAUGGAUCCGCGCUGCAUUAGCUAGUUGGUAAGGUAACGGCUUACCAAGGCAACGAUGCAUAGCCGACCUGAGAGGGUGAUCGGCCAAAACGGAACCGAGACAAGGUCCAGACUCCCAAGGGAGGCAGGAGUAGGGAAUCUUCCCGCAUGGGCCGAAGCCUGACGGAGCAAAGCCGCCUGAGGGAUGAAGGGUCUUGGAUCCUAAAACUCUGUUAUUAGGGAAGAACAUAUGUGUAAGUAACUGUGCACAUCUUGACGGUACCUAAUCAGAAAGCCACGGCUAACUACGUG
rnacentral:rRNA from 1 species